rnacentral:misc_RNA from 1 species
AAGUCGUAACAAGGUUUCCGUAGGUGAACCUGCGGAAGGAUCAUUAUUGAAACAAAACCUAAAAGCAGAAAGUUUGGAUCCUCAUCAUUGAGGUUCAUUCUCUUCUCUUUUUCCACCCCUUGUGCAUUUGUAAAUAUCACAAACGCUUUCCCUGAUCUCGGUCAGGGGACGAUAUAAAAAAACCACUUUUUUAAUUUACAUCCACUUGAUGUUUAUACUUACUAAAUCAUAACAAAACUUUCAACAACGGAUCUCUUGGCUU